UGGUGUGGAGCUACCAAAGUAUUGCUGUGCCAGAGGUUCAACCUCAUUGGAAAGUUUUCAUCUCCACACGAACAGAUUUGUUCCAGGUACCCUAGCCAGUGAUGUCAACUUCCAGGUGUACCUUUUGGAUGGCAUCCAUCGUUGGAACCAGGAUAGAGAGGGAGAGACAACAACAGACCGAGAAUGUCAAGGACCUCUCUCAUACGAUGGAGUUUUGCGACAUCCUGUGAACCAGUUGUCACAAGAUGUGCUGCACAAAAAGAUUUCUCCAGAUUUUAAAGUCCCUGGGAAACACACAGGUGAGCUCAUUGACUUGGAGUAUU